ensembl:rRNA 5S_rRNA 5S ribosomal RNA
GCCUACGACCAUAUCACCCUGAAUGCGCCCGAUCUCAUCUGAUCUCGGAAGCUUUGCACGGUCGAGUUUGGUUAGUACUUGCAUGGGAGACUGCCUAGGAAUACCAGGUGUUGUAGGCU